rnacentral:rRNA from 1 species
CCGCGCUGCACUACGGCAUAUUAUAUAAGCGGUGGAACAGAAUCUAACAGGGAUUCCCCUAGUAACCGCGAGAGAAGCGGGAUGAGCUCAUAUUUAAAAUCUGGUAGUCUUUGGCUGCCCGAGUUGUAAUCUAGAGAAGUGUUUUCCGCGCUGGACUGUGUACAAGUUUCCUGGAUAUGGCACAUCAUAGAGGGUGAGAAUCCCGUCCUUGACCCAGACUCCCAGUGCUUUGUGAUGUGCUCUCAACGAGAUCGAGUUGUUUGGGAUUGCUCGCUCAAAAUGGGAGGUAAUUUCCUUCUAAAGCUAAAUAUUGGUGAGAGACCGAUAGCGAACAAGUACCGGGAGGGAAAGAUGAAAAGCACUUUGGAAAGAGAGUUAAACAGUACGUGAAAUUGUUAAAAGGGAAACGAUUGAAGUCAGUCGCGUCUACUUGGACUCAGCCUUACUUUGGUUUGGUGCAUUUCCUUGUGGACGGGCCAGUGUCCAUGUCGAUUGCUGGAAAAGGUUGAGAGGAAUCUUACCCUUUUAGAGUGUGAUAGCCUCGGAUCAUAUGCUGUGCCUGCUACGGAGGGGGCUAGCAUGCGGAAGCCGGUGCAUGUGCUUGCCUAAUGGCUUUAAACGUCCCGUCGUGAAACACGG